AGUGAACGCUGGCGGUAGGCCUAACACAUGCAAGUCGAACGGCAACACAGUAAGAUUUCGCCCUUAAGGGUGGCGAGUGGCGGAUGGGUGACGAAUAGAUCGGAUUCCUCUUUUACGUGGGUGAUUUCGUAGCGCGACUGACGCUACCACCGCAUAUGACCUACGGGUGAAAGCAGCGGUUAAUCGGACCUUGUGCGAUUCAAUGAGCCGGUGUCGGAUUAGCUAGUUGGCUUGGUAAAGGUCUACCAAGGCAACGAUCCGUAACUGAUCUGAGAGGAUGAUCAGCCACACUGGAACUAAGACACGGUCCAGAAUCCUAAGGGAGGCAGCAGUAGGGAAUCUUCGACGAUGGGCGAAAGCCUGACAGAGCCAUGCCGCGUGGGUGAUGAAGGCCUUCGGGUUGUAAAGCCCUUUUAUUGGGAAAGAAAAGCUGCGGGUUAAAACCGCCCUGUUCUGACGGUACCCAAAGACUAAGCCCCGGCUAACUUCGUG
rnacentral:rRNA from 1 species